GGGUGAACUUGAUCAGGGUCGUCCACAACACGGAGGACAGCGGCUCCUAAUAUAACCUUCCCACAGUGCCUCUAAAUGACAUGUGGACUUUGGGUGAACUGGAUCUGGGUAAGGCUUGGCUUCUAUAUGGAAGUUUGAUGUUUUCUCUGCUUUUCUGGCAUGCUGUU